rnacentral:ncRNA from 2 species
CAGCAUCGCUAGGGGUCCUGCGCGACGGUCGACAAGAUGAUCCAUAUCCUUGAAAGGAUAGGAUAAUCGUUAAAGAUUGUUGCGCUGGUGAGAAACACCCUUGGAACCUGACCCGGAUAAUACCGGCGUAGGGAAGCGCAACUUGCUGUAG